rnacentral:rRNA from 1 species
GGCCUGUAGAAAGUUUAUUAUAGGUUUAGCCUGCCCGGUGAAAUUUUAACGGCCGCAGUAUUUUAACUGUGCAAAGGUAGCGUAAUCAUUUGUCUUUUAAUAGGGGACUGGUAUGAAUGGUCAAACGAGGAUAAAUCUGUCUCCUUUAAAUUGUCUGAAGUUGCUUUUAGGUGCAGAGGCUUGAAUAUUAAUAAAAGACGAGAAGACCCUAUGUGCUUGAAUCUUGUUUGUUUUGGGGUAAGAAUAAAGGUUUUUAUUGGGAAAAUAAAGGAGGAGAAAAAUAAUCCUAUUAAUUACUUUGUCUAAUAGAAAAUUACUAGAGGGAAUAGUAACCGUAGGGAUAACAGACUAAUUUCUUUUGAGAGUACACAUUAACAAAGAAGAUUAGCACCUCGAUGUUGGCUUAGAAAUAUUACUAUGAAGCAGAAAUCUAGUGUAUGGGCUUGUUCAGCCUUUGAAUUUUUA